rnacentral:tRNA from 1 species
AAGAAGAAAGCUAAGCGAGCAAUACGGUUUCGGCCCGUAGUAAGAAUUUAUAAAUUCUCUCCUUU